rnacentral:rRNA from 1 species
GACGAACGCUGGCGGCGUGCUUAACACAUGCAAGUCGAACGGAGUGGCGAACGGGUGAGUAACACGUGGGUGAUCUGCCUUGCACUUCGGGCUCAGCUUGGGAAACUGGGUCUAAUACCGGAUAGUGCAAGAUGAGCUCGCGGCCUAUCAGCUUGUUGGUGGGGGAAUGUCCUACCAAGGCGUCGACGGGUAGCCGGCCUGAGAGGGUGUACGGCCCCAUUGGGACGGAGAUACUGCCCAGACUCUAACGGGACGCAGCAGUGGGGAAUAUUGCACAAUGGUCGGAAGCGUGAUACAGCGACGCCGGGGGGGGGAUGAAGGGCUUCGGGUUGUAAACUCCUUUCGACAGGAUGGCGGUACCUGUAUAAGAAGCACCGGCUAACUACGUGCCAGCAGCCGCGGUAAUAC